GAUGAAGAACGUAGUGAAAUGCGAUAAGUAAUGCGAAUUGCAGAAUCCGUGAGUCAUCGAAUCUUUGAACGCACAUUGCGCCCUCUGGUAUUCCGGAGGGCAUGCCUGUUCGAGCGUCAUUAUCACCCCCCAAGCCCGGCUUGUUGUUGGAUGCAGCGCUUAUCCCGCUCCUCCCAAAGAUAAUGACGGCGUCUGCGACGACUCCUGUACACUGAGCUUUCGGGCACGUACACGGCUAGAAGUCCAGACCCGGUCGCCGUCCCACCCCGCGGGGACACCCAUUACCACAAGGUUGACCUCGGAUCAGGUAGGAAUACCCGCUGAACUUAAGCAUAUCAAUAAGCGGAGGA
rnacentral:misc_RNA from 1 species